GGGAGACGCUGGAGCCACUGGACCAGAGCUGAGAUUGGUGAUGUACCAAAUGAAGGGAUACAAGUGCCGCUACUGUAAUAUGAGCAUGUCCUACAGUAUCCAGCACCAGAAGUACAUGAGCAGGAGGGGGAAAAGUAAGAAUUUUGAAAGUUUGAAGCAAGAAGAUAGUUGGAAGAAAAUUCUUCCUGUGACCGGACACAUAAAACUUGCCAUCCACCAUGAGAUCUUUGCCACAGCUGAACCAAUGCCAGUGUCGUGCCCUUGAAUUUCCAGAACCAUGGGC